CCUCCACUGUGACUCGGUGGUGAAGUCGGAGGGAGGGCACUUCCUCCAAUACACAGAAAGGCACGUGCACUCGUUUGGAGGAGCCAGCAGCCCUGAGGAGCAGCCAGCCACACUGAGGGAGGAGCAGAGAUCAGGUAGGACCAUGGGUGCUCUGAUGUCUCUCCUGAUGUCACUCCUGAGGUUCAUCAUUCGCAAUUACAAGUUAUGAGAUAUCCAUCAAUAAGUCCUAUGACAUUGUUCCAGUUUUUUUCUGCACAGCUGUGAUGGAGAGAAAGUUGUGUACAUCUGGUGAUCGUUGCUGCUAGACAGAAAUUUAUAUUUCCUGAAAGCUGGUGGAUUUUCUUUUCACAUAUUGAGUAACAGUACAGGCGUAUUUCCCAUAAUUAUGUAAAUCUUACAACAUACUGUGUGACUUUGUAAUUUGUGGUAUGACUAGAGCUGUUUGCUGUACUUAUAGGACAGCACAUACAACAAUAAAGUAUGCUGUAAAUUGAUAAAAUAAAAAUUAU